rnacentral:rRNA from 1 species
CAGUAGCCGCGGGAAUACGUAGGGUGCGAGCGUUAGUCGGAAUUACUGGGCGUAAAGCGUGCGCAGGCGGUUGUGUAAGACAGGUGUGAAAUCCCCGGGCUUAACCUGGGAACUGCGCUUGUGACUGCACAGCUAGAGUAUGGCAGAGGGGGGUGGAAUUCCACGUGUAGCAGUGAAAUGCGUAGAGAUGUGGAGGAACACCGAUGGCGAAGGCAGCCCCCUGGGCCAAUACUGACGCUCAUGCACGAAAGCGUGGGGAGCGAACAGGAUUAGAUACCCGCGUAGUCCCUGUCUCUUAUAC